GCUGAAGACCUGACCUGAGCCUUAGGAUGAAGAGAAACAUGAUGGCUGCAGCAAGAGCAGCCACAUGAGAACAUGAAUCAAGAUGAUGGAGGGAAAGCUGAGCAAACAGCAGAGACUGAUGCCUGACAUAGUUGCACUCAACCUAUUUUUAACUGAUGAGUUUGGAUCAAGAUUGGCAUCAAUGAAUGGGAUAUUGUCGAUCUUAUUGGAAUAGACUCGGG